UUUAUUCCAUUGUUCAAGUAUUUAUUAGUAGCUUCGUUGCUUCCUAUUUCCAACCCAAAGAUAAGAAAAAUAACACUGGUUUCUGGGUAAAGGCUAUCUGCAGAAACAAGAAGAUGUUGAGUUUAAGGCAGUCAAGUUUUCCUUUCUCCAAGCCUGAGGGCAAAUUCUCUACUGAAGAGAGUCGAUUGGCCUAUGCCAAACUAGAGAAAGGUACUAAUCCUCCAAC